GAUGAACGCUGGCGGCGUGCUUAACACAUGCAAGUCGAACGGGAAACCUUUUAUUGAAGCUUCGGCAGAUUUAGCUGGUUUCUAGUGGCGGACGGGUGAGUAACGCGUGGGUAACUUGCCUUAUACAGGGGGAUAACAACCAGAAAUGGUUGCUAAUACCGCAUAAGCGCACAGGACCGCAUGGUCCGGUGUGAAAAACUCCGGUGGUAUAAGAUGGACCCGCGUUGGAUUAGCUAGUUGGCAGGGUAACGGCCUACCAAGGCGACGAUCCAUAGCCGGCCUGAGAGGGUGAACGGCCACAUUGGGACUGAGACACGGCCCAGACUCCUACGGGAGGCAGCAGUGGGGAAUAUUGCACAAUGGGGGAAACCCUGAUGCAGCGACGCCGCGUGAAGGAAGAAGUAUCUCGGUAUGUAAACUUCUAUCAGCAGGGAAGAUAGUGACGGUACCUGACUAAGAAGCCCCGGCUAACUACGUG
rnacentral:rRNA from 1 species